rnacentral:lncRNA from 1 species
GGUCUCCUGAAAGGUUGCUGACCACUGCUCUCAGCUGCUGGCCUUUUUCCUUUACUUCGAUCCACAACAUCUCUUUCCUUCAUAAUCUCCGCCCCCUUUUCCACAAUCAAAGCCCGGUUCACUACUUCCCUGUAAGUGGAAAGGUUUGACGCCUUGACCAAUCUGAAAAUCGCAGGCCGCAAACCUACCUCGAAAAUCCGAGCCUUAUCCUCAUCAUCUCGGACCACAAAAGGAACACAAUGCAGUAAUCGGGAGAACUCUCGCUCAUACUCAGCUACUGUCCUGCCCCCCUGUCUCAGGUUUCUUAAAUCCCUUUCCAUUUGCCUUUUCACAC